UACAGAGGGUGCAAGCGUUGCUCGGAAUCAUUGGGCGUAAAGGGUUGGUAGGUGGUCUCAUUUGUCAGGGGUGAAAUCCUUGGGCUUAACUCAAGAAGUGCCCUUGAAACGGUGAGACUGGAGUCUUGGAGAGGGUCGCGGAAUUCCCGGUGUAGCGGUGAAAUGCGUAGAGAUCGGGAGGAACACCAGAGGCGAAGGCGGUUCUCUGGGCCUUACCUGACGCUGAGGAGCGAAAGCGUGGGGAGCGAACAGG
rnacentral:rRNA from 1 species